rnacentral:rRNA from 1 species
AUUGAACGCUGGCGGCAUGCCUAACACAUGCAAGUCGAACGGGGCAGCAAUGCCUAGUGGCGGACGGGUGAGGAAUACGUAGGAAUCUGCCCUUAAGUGGGGGAUAACCAGGGGAAACCCUGACUAAUACCGCAUGAUCUCUUCGGAGCAAAGAGGGGGACCGCAAGGCCUCUCGCUUCUGGAUGAGCCUACGUCUGAUUAGCUAGUUGGUAGGGUAAAGGCCUACCAAGGCGACGAUCAGUAACUGGUCUGAGAGGAUGAUCAGUCACACCGAAACUGAGACACGGUCCGGACUCGUACGGGAGGCAGCAGUGGGGAAUAUUGGACAAUGGGCGCAAGCCUGAUCCUGCAAUGCCGCGUGUGUGAAGAAGGCCUUCGGGUUGUAAGGCACUUUAGCCUGGAAAGAAAAAACUUUGGUUAACACCCAAAGUCUUGACGGUACCAGGAGAAUAAGCACCGGCUAACUCUGUGCCAGCAGCCGCAGUAAAAC